AUAUGAUGAUACCGAAAAUAGAUGACGAGUCUGAAUUAAUGAAGAGACAAAUUUUUUAAAAAUUUACCAUUCAUGCCUUUCUGAUC
rnacentral:snoRNA from 1 species